rnacentral:rRNA from 1 species
AGAGACAGCAGUCGCCGCGGUAAUACGAAGGGGGCUAGCGUUGCUCGGAAUCACUGGGCGUAAAGGGUGCGUAGGCGGGUCUUUAAGUCAGGGGUGAAAUCCUGGAGCUCAACUCCAGAACUGCCUUUGAUACUGAAGAUCUUGAGUUCGGGAGAGGUGAGUGGAACUGCGAGUGUAGAGGUGAAAUUCGUAGAUAUUCGCAAGAACACCAGUGGCGAAGGCGGCUCACUGGCCCGAUACUGACGCUGAGGCGCGAAAGCGUGGGGAGCAAACAGGAUUAGAUACCCGAGUAGUCCCUGUCUCUUAUAC